AAGGCGGAUACCGAAAAGCCUGAAUAGAGUAGGUA
rfam:Mucilaginibacter sp. OK098 genome assembly, contig: Ga0066759_101